UUAAACUGAAGAGUUUGAUCAUGGCUCAGAUUGAACGCUGGCGGCAGGCUUAACACAUGCAAGUCG
rnacentral:rRNA from 1 species